GUAAAAGUUUGCUUAUCAAGUCACACGAUAAGUUGCAUGGACUUACUCUGUGUGCAAUAAGUGCUUAAUAUGAUUUUUGUAUGACUACCUCAUCUCUGUACUCCACACAUACAAUAAAUUAUCUUUGAGGUCCCUCAGUCAAGCAGUGAAUUUCAAACAGAUUCAACCACAAGACCAGGGCGGUUUUCCAAUGCCUCGCAAAGAAGGACACCUAUUGGUAGAUGAGGUUAAAAAAAAGCAGACAAUGAAUAUCCCUUUGAGCAUGGUGAAGUUAUUAAUUUCACUUUGUAUGGUGUAUCAAUACACCCAGUCUAUACAAAGGAAGAACGCCUGUAUCUAACUUAGUUGCUAGAGAGGGAAGAAACUGCUCAGUGAUUUCAACAUGAGGCCAAUGGGGACUUUAAAACAGAGUUUAAUGGCUGUGAUAGGAUGAAUCAACAACAUCCUUGUUAAUUCACAAUACUAUCCAAUUAAAGAGUGAAAAAACGGAUGCCUGUUCAGAAUAAAACAUUUCAAAACAUGCAUCCUAUUUGCAACAAGGCACUAAAGUAAUACUGCAAAAAAAUGUGGCAAAGCAAUUAACUUUUUGUCCUGAAUACAAAGCGUUAUGUUUGUAGCAAAUACAAUACAUUACUGAGUACCACUCCAUAUUUUCAAGCAUAGUGGUGGCUGCAUCAUGUUGAGUAUGCAUGUAAUCGUUAAGGACUAAGGUGUUUUUCAGGAUAAUAAAGAAAUGGAAUAGAGCUAAGCACAGGCUAAAUCCUAGAGGAAAACCUGGUUGUCUGCUUUCCACCAGACACUGGGAGACAAAUUCACAUUGAAGUAGGACAAUAACCUGAAGGCCAAAUCCACACUGGAGUUGCUUACUAAGAUCGUGAAUGUUCCUGAGUAGUUCAAUUAUAGUUUUGACUUAAAUCUACUUGAAAAUCUAUGGCAGACCUGAAAAUGGUUGUCUAGCUAUGAUCAAGAACCAAUUUAACAGAUCUUGAAGAAUUUUGAAAACAAUAAUGGGCAAAUGUUGCACAAUCCAGCUGUGGAAAGCUCUUAGACACUUACCCAGAAAGACUCACAGCUGUAAUCACUGCCAAAGGUGCUUCUACAAAGUAUUGACUCAGGUGUGAAUACUUACUUAAAUUAGCAAAAAUGUCAAAAAAACGUGUUUUCAUUUUGUCAUUCUGAGGUAUUGUGUGUAGAUGGCUGAGUUGUUUUAUUGAAUCCAUUUAGAAUUCAGGAUGUAACAACAAAAUGUGUCAUAAGUCAAGGGGUAUGAAUACUUUCUGAAGGCACUGUAAAAUGUGUAUCUCAACAGGUACUAUUUUGAACUAUUGUACAUUUUUUGUUAUAUUUUUAUAAAAAUGAAAUGUCCACCAUACAUGUCAAAAUAAAUGUGAAAUGUUAGUUU
ensembl:lncRNA